rnacentral:misc_RNA from 1 species
ACCUGUAUCAUGGUGUCCUGCAGAGAUCGUAUCGGGUAAUGGACAUACUUACUCUGUGAGGUAUGAUUAUUAUACUUGUAUGGAAAGUGAAGCGAGGUCUGAGAGGGUUUCGAGGAGGGAGAUCAGACCAUGCCCCCUUCCUUCAAAGGGUGUGGAGAAUGGGCAAAGUGGUCAAAUUAUCGAGGUGUUUAAUGAUUGUUGUUGGAAAACUUCUAUUAUUGUGAAGGUUUUCAAUAGAGACUAUUAUUUAGUACACCCAACUGGAUGUUCACAGGAGAUUAGAGUUCAUAGAUCGAACACCAGAGUGCGACAAUGCUGGCAAGAUGAAAAAUGGCACUUGAUUGGAAAGGGAUCUGGAACGUGUGCGAAACCUGACCAGCUUCCUGCUCAAAGAUCUUAUAAAAAGGUGAGCAUUGUCUUAAGUGCUAGGAAUGGAUUUCAUGUUAGAGAUGGAGAUUUGGCUGCUCA